rnacentral:rRNA from 1 species
GAUGAACGCUGGCGGCGUGCCUAAUACAUGCAAGUCGAGCGAAUGGAUUAAGAGCUUGCUCUUAUGAAGUUAGCGGCGGACGGGUGAGUAACACGUGGGUAACCUGCCCAUACGACUGGGAUAACUCCGGGAAACCGGAGCUCAUACCGGCUAACAUUUUGAAACGCAUGGUUCGAAAUUGAAAGGCGGCUUCGGCUGUCACUUAUGGAUGGACCCGCGUCGCAUUAGCUAGUUGGUGAGGUAACGGCUCACGAAGGCAACGAUGCGUAGCCGACCUGAGAGGGUGAUCGGCCACACUGGGACUGAGACACGGCCCAGACUCCUACGGGAGGCAGCAGUAGGGAAUCUUCCGCAAUGGACGAAAGUCUGACGGAGCAACGCCGCGUGAGUGAUGAAGGCUUUCGGGUCGUAAAACUCUGUUGUUAGGGAAGAACAAGUGCUAGUUGAAUAAGCUGGCACCUUGACGGUACCUAACCAGAAAGCCACGGCUAACUACGUGCCAGCCGCCGCCGUAA